rnacentral:rRNA from 1 species
AACGGCCAUACCGUGCUGAAUAUACCGGUUCUCGUUAGAUCACCGAAGUUAAGCAUCAUUGGGCGCGGUCAGUACUUGGGUGGGUGACCACCUGGGAACACCGCGUGUCGUU